ACGGGAGGCAGCAGUGGGGAAUAUUGCGCAAUGGAGAAAACUCUGACGCAGUGACGCCGCGUGCAGGAAGAAGGUUUUCGGAUUGUAAACUGCUUUCGACAGGGAAGAAAAAUGACAUUACCUGUAGAAUAAGCUCCGGCUAACUACGUGCCAGCAGCCGCGGAAAUACGUAGGGAGCGAGCGUUAUCCGGAUUUAUUGGGUGUAAAGGGUGCGUAGACGGGAAAGUAAGUUAGUUGUGAAAUCCCAAGGCUCAACUUUGGAACUGCAACUAAAACUAAUUUUCUUGAGUACUGGAGAGGAAAGUGGAGUUCCUAGUGUAGCGGUGAAAUGCGUAGAUAUUAGGAGGAACACCAGUGGCGAAGGCGACUUUCUGGACAGAAACUGACGUUGAGGCACGAAAGUGUGGGGAGCAAACAGGAUUAGAUACCCUGGUA
rnacentral:rRNA from 1 species